rnacentral:lncRNA from 1 species
UCUAUUCAUCAUAAAAUCAUAAUAUUUUACAUCAGAAUUCAGAAUCACAAACUUCUUAUGCGAUUAAAUGUCUCAGCCGACACUUUCAUCAUUCCCGAGUUACAAAAUGAAGAUGCUAAUGAAUUCCAUACAGAAAUUUCAGGAAGCUUUCCUUGGCUUAUCAUGUCUUCCAACCACAUAAGAGCUUUCCUUAGAUCUUUAUGUGCCUGAGGUCAGGUUCUCAUCAAGAUCACGCUCAGGUCUUUAUGUACAUGGUGGUCGGGUUCUCACCGAGAUUGCGCUCAGGUCUUUAUGUGCCUGGCGUUGGAUUCUCACAGAGAUCGCCCUAAUGUCUUUAUAGCGGGCAGGUUCUUGCUUAGAACGCACAUAGAUCAAAAAUAUUAGUAACUUAUCAACAUAAUAGCAGAAAUAUUAUGUCAAUGUUUACAAUGUUCAUUCCCAUCCCCAUUGACAAGCCAUAUGGGGAAGCUCUCUUCAAAAAGAAAAUCUGCACUUCUAGACUUUCUUCAAGGAUUUCCAUCAAUAACUCAUAAAUUACAUUAGAUAAAAUAACGAGGCCCCAGAAUAACAAAGAUAGCCUACAAUAAAUAGCCUUAGAUUCAUGCUAAUGAUCCUCCUUUAACAGGGAAGCAAGACACAAAAGAUCAUUAUCGGACAUCAGUCAUAUACACUAUACAAAAGAAAGAACAAAUAUCAAUAAUAAAUAUUUAGUUUCCAAAACGCAAAAGUUAAUAUGCAUCAAGAUACAUACAUAAUAGAGUCCUUCAGUGUAUGUCUUUGAACUUCAUUUUAUUGCUAUUUGAGAAUCUUCUAAGAAGCAAACAAUAAUUGCUAUUUAGUUGAAAAAUACACUUAAAGAACUCAAAGUCAAGCAACAUACUCACAAAACCCAUCAAAGUCAACACCGAAUCAGAAGCACAGUGAAAAGAAGUGAAGCAGUAGCUAAUAUUCAUCUCUAUAGAUAAUAAAAAGAUGUUUCUCCCUUUUAAAAUAAUUAUAAACAGGUUCAAAUAGUUUAAAUAGUCAAUUAAAGGAAGCUUGAGUUCUAGAUAAUCAAUUAAAGCUAUGUCUCGACUACAAACUUUAGGUCACCUUUUCGUAAUAAAAAAAGAAAUGACGUCAAGUAAAUCAAAAUACAGGUGUGCAAAGAAGCAUGUUUCUCAAACGAUUCAAUGUGAAUUAAUCAACACCUAAAUAUCAAGAAAUGUAAUAAUAGCAUAUUGUAUAAAAUUGUAUGAUUCAUUCACCUUCAAGAUCUUCUUUUUUAGUCAGCUUGUUGUCUCUUCAACCAAAUCCUCUACUCAAAUUAGGCAACAGUUGGACCAAGAUCACUCCUUCCAUUCUUGCUUAAAGUUCAGUUCCUGCAAAUUUAAUUUCUGCAUUUUCUAUCCCAACUAUCUUAUUGUAUUCAAAGCAAAAUUUUCCAGAUAAUAUCACCAAAUCAGUUGUGUAACACAUAAGGACUCUUAUUUUAUUUUAUUGUUAUAUCUUUUUCAUCCAUUUUUAUGCAACAUAAUAACACAUAGAUGCAUAUCAUAUUAAUUUCCCAAAUAGAAUCAAAUGCAUGCAAUGCUAGCAUGUUUGCUGACACAAUGAGCAAAACCUUCUCAAUCUAGCUGGAUAUCAACUUUUUCUAUAUUCAAUCAAAUUUCCUAUAGGCAUGCCAUUUUCAAAUUAAACCCAAACACUCUGCAGCUUCCAAUAAGUAAACUUGUCAACAACCCAAAAAAGAGGUAUACAAUGCAUCACUACUGCAUUGUUGAUUCAUAAUCCAAAGCAUCGACUUAUCAAUGAACAAAUUAUUACACAACUAAAUAACAUCAUUCAAAUAGAUAAACCAGAAAUGGGGUAAAUGCCAGUAAAGAUCAUAUUGUGCCAGCAUAAAAAAUCAGACACAUAAAGCAGCAAGGACUAAACCAGAUAAAUAAAAAACACCCAAUAUUAUUGGGAGGACUCAUACUCUCACGGGGCUCGGAUACAGAAUCAGCAAUAGCAACAUCAAUUAGGAAUUAAAAUCCCAACUGUUGAAUCUCCAUGCAUGUGAUAAUUCCACUCUUUUUGGUGGAUAUUUCAAUUCUUUAUUGUGAGUAGUAAAAUGCCUCAUUAAAAUACUUGAAAUUUUAAGACUAACUUGUAAAACAUAAAAAAGGAGCAUUUUAUUAGAGAUAUCUAUCCUUUUAAAAAUAAAAAUGUAUGUGCUUUCCCUCCCAUGUUAUUCCUCAUCUAAACACAACGGUUGAGUUGAUGGAUGGUAACCUAAGGAAAGUUACAGUUGAGUUGAUUGUUUUGAAUCUAUGGAACCAAUGCAUGUUAACAGAGGAUACCUUAAAGAUAUCUUUUGUUGCAGAUAAAGGUGGUAGAAGCAUAAACAAAUUGAAGAAAAAUGAAACUUUCAACAGAAAAGCAAAGUACAAAACAACCAAAAUGGAUCUUAUUGAAGACUAAUUCACCAAAUCAAUGGUCUGGAAAAGGCCAAACUAUAAAGCAAUGCUUUAAAGCUAACGAAGAAGCAUGAGUAUAUUUGAAAAAAAAUAGUAGUUCAAGAUUCUAUUCAUUAUAAAAUCAUAAUAUUUUACAUCAGAAUCCAGAAUCACAAACUUUUUAUGCGAUUAAAUGUCUCAGCAGACACUUUCAUCAUCCCCGAGUUACAAAAUGAAGAUGCUAAUGAAUUCCAAACAGAAAUUUCAGGAAGCUUUCCUUGGCUUAUCAUGUCCUCUAACCACAUAACAGCUUCAUAUUGCCUACCUAAGGAACAAAGACCCUCAAUGAGCAAAUUGUAAC